UGAGGAAUCUUCCACAAUGGGCGAAAGCCUGAUGGAGCAACGCCGCGUGCAGGAUGAAGGCCUUCGGGUUGUAAACUGCUUUUAUAAGUGAGGAAUAUGACAGUAACUUAUGAAUAAGGAUCGGCUAACUACGUGCCAGCAGCCGCGGUCAUACGUAGGAUCCGAGCGUUAUCCGGAGUGACUGGGCGUAAAGAGUUGCGUAGGUGGUUUAAUAAGCGAAUAGUGAAAUCUGGUGGCUCAACCAUUCAGACUAUUAUUCGAACUGUUGAACUCGAGAGCAGAAGAGGUAGCUGGAAUUUCUAGUGUAGGAGUGAAAUCCGUAGAUAUUAGAAGGAACACCGAUGGCGUAGGCAGGCUACUGGGCUGUUUCUGACACUGAGGCACGAAAGCGUGGGGAGCGAACC
rnacentral:rRNA from 1 species